AGCAUCUUGUUUUUUUCGGUCCGUUUAAUUUCCGUCGCUCGCUUGACUUUGCAUCCAGAAAGAGUGGAGGAAACACAUAUUUAUGUGGCGACAACGUGACUGCACGACGAGAGCUGCUGGGUGCCUGAAAUGAGCAGCGGCGGCUGAAAAGGACCCAGAAACACCGCCGGCACAGCAAGGUUUGCCACCGAACAGGAAGCCACUCUUCGGGCCAGAAAUCCCCAAACAACACACAGACACGCACGUUUGAUCAUGACAUAAAUAACUUUACUGGGAGCAGUGGUUCGUGCCUCAGGGGUUGCACAGAAACACCACAAAAGUGGUAGCGGAAAGAAAAAAGCAGUGUGUGUGUGUGUGCAGCACAUCACUCCAUCCAUCACUUUUGCCUUUCUUUGGUACGGCUUUGCCCCCGGAUGAACCGUCGUC